UACGUAGGGGGCAAGCGUUGUCCGGAUUUAUUGGGCGUAAAGAGCGUGUAGGCGGCCAGACAGGUCAGCUGUGAAAACUCGAGGCUCAACCUCGAGACGUCGGUUGAAACCGUCUGGCUAGAGUCCGGAAGAGGAGAGUGGAAUUCCCGGUGUAGCGGUGAAAUGCGCAGAUAUCAGGAAGAACACCCGUGGCUAAGGCGGUUCUCUAGUACGGUACUGACGCUGAGACGCGAAAGCGUGGGGAGCGAACAGG
rnacentral:rRNA from 1 species